ACGCUCGACACCUACUGGAGGCAGCAGUGGGGAAUAUUGCACAAUGGGGGAAACCCUGAUGCAGCGACGCCGCGUGAGUGAAGAAGUAUUUCGGUAUGUAAAGCUCUAUCAGCAGGGAAGAAGAUGACGGUACCUGAGUAAGAAGCCCCGGCUAACUACGUGCCAGCAGCCACGGUAAUCUGAGCGGGCUGGCAAGGC
rnacentral:rRNA from 1 species